GAUGAACGCUGGCGGCAGGCUUAAUACAUGCAAGUUGAACGGUAACAUUUUGUAGCAAUACAGAGAUGACGAGUAGCGUACGGGUGCGUAACACGCGUGCAACCUACCUUAUACAGGAACAAAACGUUGAGAAAUUAGCGCUAAUAUUCCAUAAUAUUAUUGAUAGGCAUCUAUUUAUAAUUAAAGCUCAGGUGGUAUAAGAUGGGCACGCGUUCCAUUAGCUAGUUGGUAAGGUAACGGCUUACCAAGGCAACGAUGGAUAGGGGUUCUGAGAGGAUACACCCCCACACUGGAACUGAGACACGGUCCAGACUCCUACGGGAGGCAGCAGUAAGGAAUAUUGGGCAAUGGAGGCAACUCUGACCCAGCCAUGCCGCGUGCAGGAAGACAGUCUUAUGGAUUGUAAACUGCUUUUAAUAGGGAAUAAUUUCGAUUAUGUAUAGUUGAUUGCAGGUACCUAUAGAAUCAGCAUCGGCUAACUCCGUGCCAGCAGCCGCGGUAAUACGGAGGAUGCAAGCGUUAUCCGGAUUUAUUGGGUUUAAAGGGUGCGCAGGCGGACUAAUAAGUCAG
rnacentral:rRNA from 1 species